GAAGCCCAGAACGAGAUGGGACGUAGUACCUCCACCUUACGUCUGAUUACUGAGUCUGGUGUUGUUAGACCAACAAUGAUAAUUUACAUUACCAGGUGGACUCUGGUCUUUGUGAAUCCGAUUGUUCUGCUUGUCUUUCGUCUGUGGAUGAGGAAGAAGAAAGCUGUGAGCUCCACCACUGAACCACAUGAGUCCAGAGAGGCUGUGGAGGUAAGACAUUUGUCCUCAAAGACAGAACUCACCAAAGGGUCAUCGUCUGUUGUUAUUAAUUCAUGAAGAUAAUUCAUAAGUAACUUUAUCACUAACAUCUUUCUCCUUUUGAACCACCAAUAUUUAUUUACCACGUUUACUGCAAAUGCCCUUAAAAUCCAAAGAGCGAUUUAAAGGGACAAAGAGUCGUAUUCGGUUCAGCAUUGAGAAGCAGCUUCUCUCAGAGUCUUGCUGCAGCAAACCACACUGCAUGUUCUCCUGCAGGUUUAAUGUUAUUGUUGGAAUGCUUUAUAUGAACUUUAUUCCUUCCCCUUAACAUUUGUUGGAAUGCUUUAUAUGAGCUUUAUUCCUUUCUUUAAUAUUUGUUGGAAUGCUUCAUAUGAGCUUAAUUCCUUCCUUUAAUAUUUGUUGGAAUGCUUUAUAUGAGCUUUAUUUCUUUCUUUGAUGUUUGUUGGAAUGCUUUAUAUGAGCUUUAUUCCCUUCUUUGAUA